rnacentral:rRNA from 1 species
GAUGAACGCUAGCUACAGGCUUAACACAUGCAAGUCGAGGGGUAGCGAGAGGGAAGCUUGCUUUCCUUGUCGACGACCGGCGCACGGGUGAGUAACGCGUAUCCAACCUGCCCCCAACUAGGGAAUAACCUUGCGAAAGUAAGACUAAUACCCUAUAAUUUCCUCAGAUGUCAUCUGACGAGGAAUAAAGAUUUAUCGGUUGUGGAUGGGGAUGCGUCUGAUUAGCUUGUUGGCGGGGUAACGGCCCACCAAGGCAACGAUCAGUAGGGGUUCUGAGAGGAAGGUCCCCCACAUUGGAACUGAGACACGGUCCAAACUCCUACGGGAGGCAGCAGUGAGGAAUAUUGGUCAAUGGGCGGAAGCCUGAACCGGCCAAGUAGCGUGCAGGAUGACGGCCCUAUGGGUUGUAAACUGCUUUUAUACAGGAAUAAAGUUAGCCACGUGUGGUUAUUUGUAGGUACUGUAUGAAUAAGGACCGGCUAAUUCCGUGCCAGCAGCCGCCGUAA